UCCCUCAGCCUCCCAAGUAGCUGGGAUUACAGGCACGCACCACCGUGCCCAGCUAAUUUUUUGUAUUUUUAGUAGAGACGGGGUUUGACCAUGAAUGGCCAAGCUGGUUUCGAACUCCUGACCUUAAGUGAUCCCCCCACCUCGUCCUCCCAAAGCGUUAGGAUUACAGGUGUGAGCCACCGCGCCCAGCUGGUUUGCUAAUAUUUUGAGAGGAUUGUUGCAUCUAUGUUCAUCAAGGAUAUCGGUCUAUAAUUUUCUUUCUUGUAAUGUUAUCUGGCUUUGGUAUCAGGGUAAUGCUGGUCUCGUAAAAUGAGUAUGACUCUAUGUUUAGUGCACUCUGAAGAAAACUGUGGUGCAAAUCAAAGUCACAGUUGACUCUACAUUCAGGAGUGAGGGGCUGCCUCCAGGUUCACUGCCCUCCCCAGCCUCCCCGCCACCGCUCCAGUGGGGACUGUGGUAGACUUGUUCCUCUGCCCUCAUGGCCUGGACAUACCUGAGCCAACCCCAAGACUCUUCCUCUGGCUCAGGCUGGCCCUCUCUGCAGGCCCCCACCAGCCCUUGGCCCCGACUUGCUGGCCAGGCUUCCAGGACAGAGAGAGGUGCCUGCAGGCUGCCCUCUGACGGGGCAGAAGUCCAGGGAGGAAGAAGCGGAGGCGUUGGGGGAGGAGGCUCCUCCACCGAGCUCUGCGUGCAGCCCUGUGAAAGAGGACAUGAGCAACAGCAUCCCAACCCAAACUAUAAGAGCCAACAUCACCACUGACCAGGAGGAAGGCAGUGCCCCAGUCACCUCUGAGGGCCUCCUGGGAGUCAGGCAGCGUGCUAAAGGCUUCACACGUGUCAUCUCAAAUGAGACAGCAACAACUGCUACCCAUCGUGGAGAUGGGAAAACUGAGGGAGAACACAGCCAACAGGUGCCAGACCCAGGUGAUUCAUGGGCCAGGGAAAUUUCCAGAACAAUUUUCAAGGGCUGAAUUUACACUGCCAAGAUUUUAUUUUUUCAAUAAGAACCUGAAAAAGAAAACUACCACUGAAUAUCCCCGUGAUUUCAUGAAGACAGAAUGUUUUCUAUCCUCUGUCAAAGUAGAAGAGAUGCCCUCCCAGGGUAAGGGUGGUCCUUCCUGAGAAGCAGGUGGCUGCCCCCAUCUGCCUGACACCGAUGCACAGAGGCAGGUGGAAAUUGCUCCAGGCCUGAAGCCAUCUGGGCACAGGCAUUCCCAGGAAUGAGCUGCUGAAGUGACCCCCACCUGGCAGUUGUGGCCUGGGGCCGUUGUGGGCUCGGGCUCCUGAGGGCCGGAAUGCAGAUCCUCAUUCCCCGGAGCACCCUCUCCACUCCAUGGCCUAACACUGUUUGUGAGUGAAAGAAACAUGGUGGAUGGAAUCCGCGGUGGAAUCCAUGGAAACAUGGUGGAUCCCGGCGGCUGAGCCUAUGCCAGGCAGGUGCCAGGAGUGCUUCAAAAUCAUCUCGGGGCCGGGCACGGUGGCUCACGCCUAUAAUCCCAGCACUAUGGGAGGCCGAGGCAGGUAGAUCAUGAGGUCAGGAGAUUAAGACCAUCCUGGCUAACACGGUGAAACCCCGUCUCUACUAAAAUUUUAAAAAAAUAUUAGCCAGGCGUGGUGGUGCGCGCCUGUAGUCCCAGCUACUUGGGAGGCUGAGGCAGGAGAAUGGUGCGAACCCGGGAGGCGGAGGUUGCAGUGAGCCGAAAUUGCGCCACUGCACUCUAGCCUGAGACUAGAGCUAGACUCUGUCUCAAAAAGAAGAAAAAAGAAAAGAAAUCAUCUCGGGGCACUGUGUCCAUGGCCGCAGGCACUGCCACCGUCUGAUGGGGACACAGGACAUGGGGCUUCAGAAGGACUUCCUGCCCACAGUGGGGAGCUGACCUCAGCCCUGGCGUAGGGCCCCAGUCUGCACUGGGGAUUUGGAGAGAAGGAUGGAGAAGCAAGAGGGAGGGCAGAAGCUGGAAGCCUGGGCUCACCAGGGUCUGAGACCCACAAGCACCGCCUAGACCCCUCAGCUAGUCAGCCAAACCUUCCAGGGCUCUCAUGUGCCUGCCCAAGGGCAGGGGAUCCCUGGCAUGACCCAUGCUGUGCUUUGUGUCUUUGUAUGUGUUGCCCUGGAAACUCCCUGUAAAAAUCCAGAUUUCCAAGCUUCAAUCUUGAAAAGCUGGCCACAUGGGGCCCAAAACCCACUGGACACACUUAGGUGGGUCACUCCUACUCCAGCUGGCCACAGUUCUUACCCUGCAUUUUGCCCUUUUGCAUUUCCCGCUGGCAUCUGGGAGCUUUGCCCUUCCAGCACUGACCAGGACUCCCAGCACUGACCAGGACUCUCCAUCCAGCUGCAGGAGCAAGAGUAACCUUCAAAGGAGAUGCUGGUGCUGGCUGGGCAGCCAGGGAACUGUGCGUCUUGCACAGAACGGAGGGUGGGAGGACUGUGCAGUGCUCUCUUUGGGCCCCAGAAUCUGAAUGCCCUUCCAGAUACUCAGGUGAGGGCAGCAGCCCACCACGGAUGAAAGUCACUGGUCACCUCCAGGCUGUCUGCCCUGGAAGAGUAGCCUUGGCAGGAAACACCGCCCCUGGUGGCCACACACCACACCAGCAGAGGGGCUGUCACCUCAAAGAAGUCACCUCCGCCAAGGAUAAAAUCCACUUGAUCAGGAUGCAUGAUCUUUGUAACGUGCUGUUGAAUUUGGUUUGCUAAUAUUUUGGUGAGGAUUUUUGCAUCUCUGUUCAUCAAGGAUAUUGGCCCAUAAUUUUCUUUUCUUGUAAUGUCCUUGUCUGGCUUUGGUAUCAGGGUAAUUCUGGCCUCAUAAAAUGAGUUUGGAAGUGUUCCUUCCUCUUGAAUUUUUUGGAAGAGUUUGAGAAGAAUCAGCAUUAAUUCUUUCUUAAAUGUUUGGCAGAAUUCACCAGCGAAGGCAUCAGAUAUCCUGGGCUAUUUUUUGUUAGGAGGUGUUUGAUCACUGAUUCAAUCUCCUUACUCAUUAUUGGUCUGUUCAGAUUUUCUAGUUUUUUGUUUGUUUGUUUUGUUCUUGUGUGUUUGUUUUUUUGAAGUGGAGUCUUGCUCCCGUCACGCAGGCUGGAGUGCAGUGGCACGAUCUCAGCUCACUGCAACCUCCACCUCCCGAGUUCAAUUGAUUCUCCUUCCUCAGCCUCCUGAGUAGCUGGGAUUACAGCCUGCACUACCAUGCCCGGCUAAUUUUUGUAUUUUUAGUAGAGACGGGGUUUCACCAUGCUGGCCAGGCUGGUCUCCUGACCUCAGGUGAUCCACCCGCCUUGGCCUCCCAAAGUGCUAGGAUUACAGACGUGAGCCACCACGCCCUGGCCGAUUUUCUAGUUUUUUUUGGGAUUCAGUCUUGGUCGGCUGUCUGCUUCUAGCAAUUUAUUCAUUUCUAGGUUAUCCAAUUUGUUGGCAUAGUUGUCUAUUAUUUCUUUGGUAUCAAUUGUAAUCUUUCCUCUUUCAUUUAUAAUUUUCUUAUUUAUCUGAGUCUUUUUUUAUUUUAGUCUAGCCUAAGGUUUGUGGGUUUUGUUAACCUUUUCAAAAAAACUCAACUCUUAGUUUUGUUGAUCCUGUCUAUUGUUUCUUAAGUCUGUAUUUCAUUUAUUUCUGCUCUGAUCUUUCUUUCUUUCCUUCUGCUAACUUUGGCCUUAAUUUGUUCCUCAUUUUAUAGUUCCUUGAGGUGUGAAGUUAGGUUGUUUAUUUGAGAUCAUUCUUAACGUAGGCAUUUAUUGCUAUAAACCUCCCACCUAGAAUCACUUUUGCUGCAUCCUAUGAGGUUUGGACUGUGUUGUUAAAUUUCCACACAUGUCCGGCCGCCAUCCCAUCUAGGAAGUGAGGAGCGUCUCUGCCCGG
rnacentral:lncRNA from 10 species